GGAAGCAGAAUUUUCUUCACAAUAAGAAACAUCUGUAGAUUGAUUUUCGAUCUUCUCACGCACCAAAAAUACACGAAGAUCCCAAUUUCCCUCAUCACCAUCGUUCACAUCAGAGAAUCUAAGAAAGAAAAAUAAUGGUUGGAGUCGGAAUUGAAGACCGAAGAAAAAUGGUUAGCUAGCGGAAUUGCAGGUCUUCAAAAAACAUGCAUCGAGCUAUGGAAAUAAUUGAAUUAAUUCCAUUUAAAAUCCAGAUGAAUCUCUCGAUUUCUUCUCUCAGGAAAAAUCAUGGUAUUACUUGAUUGUGUUCUUCAUGACCAGGAGAGUGAUCUUGUAGCUAAUUUUGUGUCAUUCUGGUCGCAAUGAAAAGAAAGCUUGGUGGUGCCCCCAAUGCAGCUGAAAUAUAUCAUGGUGUAACUAUGAUUGUUCUUGUAGUGGACUCCUGUAAAUGAAGGAUCAUGACACUUGAAUAACUAGGAGAGGUUUAUGAGGUGACUGGGGACCAGGACCGGGUAGCUGUUAUUAUGGAUAAUGGUGGCAUGACAGUAAAAAGGAGGAAAGAUGGACGAAAUGAGUGUUGAAGAAGCUGCGAAGUUCUCGAUUCGUUGGCUAGAUGGUACGUCAUGACCAGCAACAGAUGAGCAAAGUAAAUUUCUUAUAUUUUUACUUUAAUUCACAGCGUGAACUUUAACCGGAUUCCACUUCAGUGUGAUCAUGUUAAUAGGUAUGGAUUCGAAAUCUACUGACUUCUGCAUCAAAGCGUGUACUUUCGUAGGAGCUUCUUUGGUUCAUAAUGGUUGAAUAAUUUGUUGUGUAGUUAUGAAAACGGUUGCAUAACUUGUUAUGCAUCUACAAAAUUUGUUGUAUAACUUGUUAUGCAGCACGAAAAUGGUUGCAUAACACGUUAUGCAGUAACGUUUUUGUUAAUAUUGAAACCAUCAAAAAAAAAAGUUGCAUAACUUGUCAUGUUAUGCAGUCCAGAGAAUGGUUGCAUAACACGUUAUGCAGCUACUUUUUUGUUAGUACUGAAACCAACAAAAAAAAAAGUUGCAUUACUUGCCAUGCACCUACAAUAAUAUCUGCAUAACACGUUAUGCAGUCCAGAAAAUGGAUGCAUAAAACAUUAUGCAACCAUAUUUUUGUAAGUACUAAAUUUAAAACAUUGAUGCAUAAUCUUUUAUGCAUUCAAGGAAAUGUAUGCAUGACAUGUUAUGCACAAAUUAAUACAUGCAUGAACCAAAAUAUGGUUGCAUGACGUUUUAUGCAUCUUUUGUUGUGUCUGCAUAAUGUGUUAUGCUUCGUUUUUGGUGGCUGCAUAAUGGUUACGUACCAAAUUUUUGAAAAUUUUGCUUAAAAGAACAAUCGCCUCCGAUUUUUUCGCAAAAAAGCUUAAAUUUGAUAUUGUUGUUUGUACUCGUUGUGUAGCUCUCUUAAAAAGAUUUCCAACGAUAUAAAUUUUGUAAAAUACCAAGGCGCGGUUUUUUAGAUAUGUUAUAUCCAAGUUGCAUUGUCAAUUAUACCCUGAUGCAUAACCUAUUUGAUACGUACUGUCUUCUCUUGGACUCUCAAUGAUGUAUUAGAUGACCACUUCUAUGGAGAGAAGGUCAGGCAUUUUAACUAGUCUAUUUGCAUUCGGUGAGUUGAUCUAUAUGCUAUUUGUACUAGCCUGGUGUAACUCUACGUUUAACGGCUGCUAUUUGGAUGAUCAAAAAUGUUUGUUUAUUACUUAUUAGGUACAUAGAAUUCCUGAAACCUUCUCCUCGGUGGAGCAGUACUUGGAAUUAUUUCGUUGUCCUCUUCCAGCGAUGUUUUCAAGCAUAAAUCAUAUUACAUUAGCCAAGUUAAAUAGUUUGUAAAAGCAACAUUUUUGUAAACGUAUUUUUUGAUAUAUAGUAAUAAACAUUCCAGGUUUAAUGUAAUUGCAGGUGAUAGACUGAGUUUGGCUGUGACAGUGUAUGAGUUGAGUUGCAAUGGGAGUUGGUGUUGCUAUUGUGAGUCGUUGCCUGGAAGAAGAAUUGGUUGUUAUGCAAUUUUUUUUUGCAUAACUUGUUAUGCAGUCCAGAAAACGGUUGCAUAACACGUUAUGCAACUACUGUUUUCUUAGUAUUGAAAACAACAAAAAAUAAGGAUGCAUAACUUGUC